UACGUAGGUGGCGAGCGUUGUCCGGAAUUACUGGGCGUAAAGGGCGUGUAGGCGGUUAUUUAAGUCAGACGUGAAAGCUCCAGGCUUAACCUGGGAACUGCGUUUGAAACUGAGUGACUUGAGGACCGGAGAGGGUAGUGGAAUUCCCAGUGUAGCGGUGAAAUGCGUAGAUAUUGGGAGGAACACCAGUGGCGAAGGCGACUACCUGGACGGCACCUGACGCUGAGGCGCGAAAGCGUGGGGAGCAAAC
rnacentral:rRNA from 1 species